rnacentral:pre_miRNA from 1 species
AGCUUUUCGAAUCUACGCUGAGAUUUCGUCAGACACCAACCCAUUAGGUCUGAUAAGACUUCCAAGAUAAAUGAAGCU